rnacentral:lncRNA from 1 species
GUCAUCAACAGUUAUAAGGUUGAAGCGACCUUCUUCAGAGUAUCUGACGAUGUGUGUACUACACACGAAAGCUCAUACCUUGAAAGCUUAUAUUUAGUUGGUCUUAAAGGUGCCACUGGAAUUAUUUUAAAAGAUUUUUUUUUCAUCUUCCAUCUUGAUAUUUAUUAUGAGGGUGGCUACUAGUUCAGACCAAACGGGAGAGCUAAGAAGCUGUGGAUUUCCACAUUCACCAUGAAAGCAUCUCAGAGGAAAGAAGCCCACAUCAGUCCACUUUUAGGUCCCAGAGAGAUGUAAAGAAGAACACUUAGACCGAAAAGGCUGUUCUGAACUUGACAUGUGCAUUUCCUCAGCUGAAUGUACAGCGCUGGAAUCACUUUGUUCUGCUCUUUGCAACGUGUGCUGCAAUCAACGGCAACAUUUUGGAGAAAGGAACAGAACAGGUUUUUUCAGCUGACUCACCUGAACUGCCUGCCUGAAGCCUUUCAAGACUCAACUUUUUGCUAUGCCUUGAAUGACUCCCAACUAGGGCAGCAGUCCUAUACACAUUUACCUGGAAGCAAGUCCCACUGAAUUCAGCAUUGAUUAUUGGUUCAGAAUAGCUUUGUAUUGCAGGACAGAUUCUGCUGUCUUCCCACAAAUACCGGGCAAUUCUUCUCCUGAUCGUAAAGACUGCUUCUUGGUGUUCAGCACAUGGGUAGCAAGCAGUAAACAAAUCCAAAAUAAACCAUUUAUUUCCCUUGCAUAUGUGGGUCAACGAAUGACUUUCCAUUCGGGUGAGUCACUGAGUUCCUCCAAACCCUUAAGGUGUACUGCAAAUGAAAAAUGUGGUUUGCAUUGGAAUGCAGUAAUGCAUAAGGCUUGCUGGAAGACUCAACUUUCGCUCCUAAGUCCAAAAAUCAAGGCUUUUUGACUGUCAGAUAUAUAUAUAUAUCCCUUUACAAUGAAAGCAUAAAACACCCCCUCCUCAAACAAGCAUUUAAGCCCAGGAACACGAGUUUGCACUUCGUCUAAGGCCUACCCACCCAGUGAGCCAAAGUGUGUUCUUUCUGGGUGGCUCAGAGAAUAGCACAUUGCAGUGGAAACACCCAUUUAUUUCAUUUACUGCCAUUUAUAAUAUUUUCCACUAGUUGGAGAUAAUGAAUUCAUCCAUAUUUGCCAAGAUUAUGCAGCUUAUUUAUUGCCAAAAUUAUCCAGAAUCUUUUUUUCCUUUUUUCUUUUAAAGGAAAGAAGCCAUUGCCCAUGAUUUUCCAUGAGUGCCUGGUGGUUCUUUUGGAACGAAAGUUACAUCCUUGCUAUUAACAAUGCAUUACAAUAGCUUUGAACUCUCCUGCUUGUAGCUGGGACAGAUCCCUCAAGGACACUUGCUUCAAGACUUUUAAUUGUUUGGGAUAAUUAAAGGCAGGCCAGAAAUCUGGAACUGCCCUUAGUUCUCCUCCAUGUGUGAAGGCACUCUUUAAUAGUCUUCUCACAAAAGCAGAGGGGUAUCGGCUCAUCUAUAGAUGAUUUCCCAAAUUUUAGUUACUCCUCGUUCCUUUUAGCUAAGCCGUGUGACUCACAACAGCCAUUCUGCCUGACAAAGCCAAGCAGAAUGUGGGGCUGAUCCUCAAGUUUACUGCACCAGUAAAUGCUCAGAAGGAAACCCAUGACUUCAAUGCAUCAUUUAAUACCUCCAGGCUCACCAAUCUGUGCUAAGUUCUCUCUGUGUGUGUUCUUUGCAUAUGUGGAAACAACUGAGAGUGGAAAUCAAGUCCAAACAACUUCUGUAAGACACUGUGAUCCUAGAUUUCUUGUUCCUCUCGAGGGCACUGCUCCCAACACCCCAUGUGCUGAGUUGUUAGUCAGCCAGGAUGUCUGGGCUGUUAUGGGGUCCAAGGAUUACAUCCAUGGUGGUGGGUGGAAGGACCCUGAGUGAGAGGCAGGGCAUGACCGCCCAGGGUGAGAGACUGGGAGAGGAAAGGAAAGGAAAGGUGAGAGCUAGGAGGCUCCAGCACUUUCAGUGGGAGACAAGGAUUAAGAAUUACAGUGGUACCUCUGCUUACGAACUUAAUUCAUUCUGGAGGUCCGUUCUUAACCUGAAACUGUUCUUAACCUGAGGUACCACUUUAGCUAAUGGGGCCUCCCGCUGCCGCCGCACAGCCACCGCACAGUUUCUGUUCUCAUCCUGAAGUAAAGUUCUUAACACGAGGUACUAUUUCUGGGUUAGCGGAGUUUGUAGCCUGAAGCGUCUGUAACCUGAAGCGUCUGUAACCUGAGAUACCACUGUACCUUUUCCAGGUCCACCACAUCUUUCAUAUGUGGUGGACCUGUAAAAGGGUAAAAGAGUAUUGGGAAACAAUUCAUAAUGAACUGGGGGGGAAAUGUUUAGAAGUACUUUUCAAAAAGACAAAACCAGAGUCCUUUUUGUUGGGGAAAAUUCAGACUGAAAUUCCCAGGUGUCAAAAAAAGGUUAUUUUUGUAUGCCACUACUGUGGCUCGUGUUUUGUUAGCCCCCAAAUGGAAAACGAGCGAAGUCCCAACUAAAGAAGAAUGGCAACUUAAGCUGAUGGAAUAUGUGCAGCUUGCGGACUUAAUAUAUAGAAUAUGAGAACAAGAAGAACAUACAUUUAAAGAAGCUUGGACUUUUUUUAAAAAAAAUAGUAUUUAUUAAAGUUUUAAGUUUACAAAAAGGCAAAAGAAAAAACAUCAAAUUAAGCAAUAACAAAACCAACACAUCACAAUAAAAAACCGAAAAAUACAAACAAUGAAAAGCAAAAGAAAAAAGAAGAAAGAAAACAAAACAAAACGAACCUUCCCAUAACUUAUCUUUCAUUUGCUUGUUUCCCUGACCUCCUCACACCUACCUUUUUUGUAUUCUAGGUCAAUUAUCCAUUUCAGCAAAUCCUUUCCCUCUCUUCAAAAUUUUUAUCCUGAAAAUUUAUCUUGAUCUUGAUAUAAGUUUACUUUCCCUCUUUUCACCAAUUAACAGUCUAUUUUUCUUUAACUCUUUGAUACAUUUUUGCUAGAAUCACCUAGAUUCAUUCCAACAUCAUUCUAACAUUCAUUAAUUUUACAAUGUUUCUGUAAAUAGUCUUUAAAUUUCUUCCAAUCUUCCUCCACCGACUCUUCUCCCUGGUCUCGGAUUCUGCCAGUCAUUUCCGCCAGUUCCAUAUAGUCUAUCACCUUCAUCUGCCAUUCUUCCAGAGUGGGUAGAUCUUGUGUCUUCCAAUACUUUGCAAUAAGUAUUCUUGCUGCUGUUGUGGCAUACAUAAAAAAAUUUCUGUCCUUCUUUGACACCAAUUGGCCGACCAUGCCCAGGAGAAAGGCCUCUGGUUUCUUCAGAAAGGUAUAUUUAAAUACCUUUUUCAUUUCGUUAUAGAUCAUCUCCCAGAAAGCCUUAAUCCUUGGGCAUGUCCACCAAAGGUGAAAGAAUGUACCUUCCGUCUCUUUACAUUUCCAGCAUUUAUUUUCGGGCAAUUGAUAAAUUUUCGCAAGCUUGACUGGUGUCAUGUACCACCUGUAUAUCAUUUUCAUUAUAUUCUCUCUUAAGGCAUUACAUGCCGUGAACUUCAUACCUGUGGUCCAUAACUGUUCCCAGUCAGCCAUCAUAAUGUUAUGUCCAACAUCUUGUGCCCAUUUAAUCAUAACAGAUUUUACCGUUUCAUCCUGAGUAUUCCAUUUCAGCAGCAAAUUAUACAUUCUUGACAAAUUCUUAGUUUUGGAAUCUAACAGUUCUAUCCUUAUUGUCUAUUUGCAGCCCAUUCCCAGGGUCUGAGCUGUGGAGUUUUAGUUUCCUUCCCUCUCUCUCACAGGUAUGAAAAGUCCAAAACUUCUCCCCCCUCUUCUCCUGCUUCCCGGGGGGAGUUUUCUAAUUUAGAAAUUGGGAUUUUAAUCCUUUCCAGUCGGCUCUCCAAGACUCUAGCUUGCAGCCUUUGCUUUGUUCUGACUACAAAAGCGGAAGGCAGACUUCCUGUUUAUGCCUCCCCGCUACAAUUCCAAAUUGCAAAUUUCUUCCUUUAAAAAGUUCCAAUAUGGUUGUUCUUAAAUAAUAUCUUUAAAAUCCAAUUGUUCUACUCACGGGUAGUAUCUUUUUAAGUCCAAUUGUUCACAGGAAAAAGUCAGCGCUCUCCGGCAACGGCUCUGCGGCUUCACUCUGUGGAAAGAGCAGUCGAUUCACAGCACCGCGCUGCUCACCCCACUUCGCUACGGAUCCCGCGAACGGGUUUCCCCGCGAGUAGGGGAGGCGCUGAAGGUGCCUGCCGAAUCCCACGUUCACAGGCUUCACCCGCCUGUGAUUUCUGAAGGGUCUCCGCCUUCGCCGUGGCGGCCAGACCCGAUCUCCACGGAGCAAAUUCCUCUUAGUCAGAGGAAUUCAGCCAUUAGCCGAUGGCGCCAACCGGAAGUUAAAGAAGCUUGGGCAUUGUAUAUUGAAUAUAUGGUGGGAAAUGGUGUAUAUUUGAAAACGUAGGCAGCAUUAAGAUAAAUUCAACAGUGUAUAUAAGUUAGAUGCAAUAAUGGAAUACUUUAGUUUCUGUAAAAUUUGCAGGGAUUUAUGAUAUAUAAAAUAAGCCAUGGAAAGAGAAGGGAAGUCAUUGAUAUCUUAAGGAUAUAAAAAUGAGUACUUUAAAUUGCAAAACAGAAAAUUUAAUAAAAAUUAUAUAUAAAAAGAAAAGAAAAGAAAAGGGAGGCCGAUAUUUUGCAGAUUCAGAUCUCGAUCCUGUUAAACCAGGAAUAACAACUCUGUUGCAAGUUUCACAAGGAUGUUCACAUGGAAAUGCAGCAUGCGAUCAACAAGGCUCCCUUCCUCCCCAUUUUGAGAUGGGUGCUGGGAAUAUUCCCCCCCCCCCUCGAAUGUCAUUUUAUCCUUGAAUCUGUUGUUUUUUCAUUGUACUGGUCACUUUACCUUGUUUAAAGAUCUGCUGCAUUUCGUGUGUGCGUAUAGUUUUGUUGUCAGUGCGUGCGUGCGUGUGUAUAUAUUUGUAAGUGGCUUUGAGGAUUGAUUUUGAACAUGGGAUAUAAAUAAUUUAAAUCAAUAAAUAAUGGAUAAAAUUAGAUCGCAGGAGGAAGAAGGAGCCGAAUGCAAAACAGAGAAUUGUACUAUAAGGUUACCCAUCUAUUAAAGUGGCUUCCAUACAGAGAUAAUUUGUAUGAAGCACAGAGGAGAGUUGCAGAGUGAUAUCUGCUUUGUGAAUCUAUAAAUAGCCAAGACUCUGUUCCCUGCAAAUCAUAGCCAUUUACUUCCAAAGCAAUAUCUCCAUUCUCAUUGUGGCUUAGUUCCAUCUCCACUCAAUGUCCCGUUAGUAGCAAAUUAAUUCAGUAUCCACACCAGCCCUGUGAAUCAGAAAAUUUAAUGUCGAGUAUUAGUUUGGCCGCUGAGUUAUUCCCAUUGGGGUAUGAAUGCCCCAUUCCUUCUCCUGCCUCCACAGCCCCGAGCAGUGCCAAAGCAAAUAAAGAUAAUAGAAUGAAAGAAAGAAUUUGCUGUGUGCAAAUUUACUGCUCUAACUUUGCUUUAAUGCCGAGCUGUGGAAAAAAAACAAAGCCAGCCUUCUCUAUUUGUCUUCAUUUAGAAUUAUUGCUCUACUUUUUAUUGCCAUCUUUCCAGCUCACAUUUCUUUUUCAGGGAAAGACUUAUAGGAUUAUGGAAUUGGAAGCAACCUCAAAGGCCAUUUGCUUCAGCCACCUGCAGUGAGGCAAGAUCUAUCGCGCUCACACGCUAACAGAGCAACCCUGAUAGCAGAAUACGGCUUGGGACUGUCCUUGUUACAAUUUCCCAGAAGGAAACAAGAUUCUAGACUUCCAUUGGCUGCCUCCCUGACAAUUAGGGUAGGCCAAAAUGGUGCCCUCCGACUGUUCUUCGACAGCAGCCCUCAACAUCUCUCUCUCCGCUGCCUAUGCUGGCAUCUCUGGAAGGCAUCCUUUGACUAACAUGUUUGGACCUGGUAUAGUAAACUGGGAGAAAUUGACAAGACUUCUACAACUGGAUUAUAAUGCCAGCUGAACUAAGGUGUCCCAUUGGCUUUGUCUUUUCUCCC